UAGGGAAUAUUGCGCAAUGGGGGAAACCCUGACGCAGCGACGCCGCGUGAGUGAUGAAGGCCUUCGGGUCGUAAAGCUCUGUUGUAGGGGACGAAACAAAUGACGGUACCCUACGAGAAAGGACCGGCUAACUUCGUGCCAGCAGCCGCGGUAAGACGAGGGGUCCUAGCGUUGUUCGGAAUUAUUGGGCGUAAAGCGGACGUAGGCGGCCUAUUUAGUCAGACGUGAAAGCCCUGGGCUCAACCCAGGAAGUGCGUUUGAUACUGGUGGGCUUGAGUAUGGGAGAGGAGAGUGGAAUUCCUGGUGUAGUGGUGAAAUACGUAGAUAUCAGGAGGAACACCGGUGGCGAAGGCGGCUCUCUGGCCCAAUACUGACGCUCAGGUCCGAAAGCGUGGGUAGCAAACAG
rnacentral:rRNA from 1 species